UUGAUAUGUAUACUCCAACGUACCACCAGUUCACCACUACCUACUUGGCUAUCCUUAGCCUCUCCCUCUCCCUCUCCCUUUGCAAAUUGGAAGCUCUUAUUUUCGCCUCUUUUGAAAUUAAUUUUUCUUGCCUAUCAGAUCCUUCUCCUUUACGAUGUUAUUUGGGCUGUUGAACUUGAUUGCAUACGGAUUUUCAAUCUCAAAAUUUUAAGUCAAUAUCUUUUAAUCCUUGCAACUUUGAAGAUUAUUACGGUUAGUUAAACGGGAGUUUGAGGAAAGAUGAGGGGCAGCUAGAAUCAAACCAAAACUUUACUCGGAUAAGUGGUACAUGCUCUAGCUGAGAUAAUAUCGACUCUCAUCUCAAAUUUGGUUUAAUACUUCUAUAUUUGAUCAGAUAUGUACUUUAUGCAUAUGAAUAAUUAUUUAAUUUGAUGCUUACUAUGAUGAAGAAGCAAUCGGCAGAAAGAUGGUAUUAUAUUUGCACUUUGAUUGUUUUCUUGGAGUUUUUGGAGGGACAUAAUUGGUUGAAUGAACUCUGAACUUUGAACAAUGGAACAAAUGCUUGAAGCUAUUUUAUUGGAAAUUUAUUUGAUUUUUUUGUCAAAGUCAUGGUUGUGUUAUUUUGACCGAAUCACGAAUUCAAAAAGCAAAUCAGAUAGUGAAUUAUGCUACAUUGCUUAAUAGAUAGUAACAUAUAGUCUUAGGGGUGUUUGGAAUGGUUUGAUGAGUGGUUAUGGUUAUGGAAUGUAUUGGAAUUGGUUUAGAAAUUAGAAGGUGUAACACCAUCAA